UUCUCAGUUUCGGUCUCCUCAAACCCUCGAUGUUCUCGAAUAAACGAUGAGGCAACGCUUCAGUGUGAGGUUAUAGGUCAGCACCAUGGUUGUGAAGUGAAGUGGAGAAGUCCAAAUACAUAUUCACUCACAAAUACAUCAACAGUUCAACUCAAACCUGUAAAAACCUCACAUAACGGGCCCUGGCUGUGUAUCGUCACCUGUGGCAGCAAUACAUUUAGUGAGCGUCUGGCCAUCACAGUACAAGAGCCUCCAACUACAACUCCACCAUCCACCAUGAAGAACGUCACAUUGUUUGUAACGAGUGUUCAGGGUACAACAUGUACAACAUGUGUUGCCAACGAUUGCCCACUGGGACUCUCCUGUUGGAUGUGGUUUGCGAUUGGGCUGUGCUGCCAGUUUGGGAUGCUCCUCAUAGUUUGUGUCAUUGUCUUGUGUAAGUGUAUGAGAAGAAGGAUGGUAUGUGAGGAAAGGCGUUCAUCAAAUAUUUAUGUGUAGAGUUGAUAGCUUACGAUAAAAGAAACCAAAAGAAAAUGGGUUAAACGCCUCCUGCACCACUGUGUUUACAGAUUAUGGUGAACUUCUUCUUAAAGUUCUUCAUUGAUUGUGUAACUGAUCAGAGUCCUGAUUUCACUCCACCAAGUUCUUACAAAAGUUCUGGCACACUUCACAACUCGUAAAAUUCUAAAAGAGUGUCUCAGAUUGAGUAUUACACUCUUCAGUAAAUUGGCGCAGAUGUACAGAUGAGGUGUCGGUUUGUUUUCUGGGCCUUCCUGGGUGAAACUAAGAACCAACUAAGAUCUCUCAGACAUCCGUUUAAUUACACUUUAUUGCCAGAAGUAUUCACUCGUCUACCUUGACACGCAUAUGAACUUGAGUGACAUCCCAUUUUUAAUCCAUAGGGAUUAAUAUGAUGUACGACCAACUGUGGCAGCUGAAACUCUUACAGGAAGGCUUUCCAAAGGUUUAGGAGUGCUUAUAGGUGUUUUUGGUGCUUUGUACACCUGGACACCUGUCUAGAAGCACAUUUGUGAGGUCAGACACUGAUGUUGGACUAGAAGGCCUGGCUCACAGUCUCUGCUCUAAUUCAUCCCAAAGUUGUUCUGUCGGGUGGAGGUCGGGACUCGGUGCAGGCCAGUCAUGUUGUUCCAACAGGAGGGAAUGUCAAUGGAAAAUUGUAUUUAGUAGUCAGUAUAAUCUUUUAGUGAUAUAAGUUUGCUUAUGGUAGGAUGCUGUUUGUAGUUAUUUGGUAGUGACAGGAUGUGUGAUUUUUAGCAGGCUUGGUUCACCCCCACAUCCUGGGAGCGUGGGAGAGGUCGUACCUUGUUUUAUUGUUUUAACGUAGCUAUGUCUGUUUUAGUCUAAGUGCUUUAACUGCUGGACUUCCUCACCGUGCCAUCUAGGGUGGGGGAGACUACCCUCUUUAUGACCAAGGAUGUACCCUUUGUUCUUUCAUGUAUAUGACCCUUUGAUCAACACACACACACACCACACACACACACAC